UUAAAUCAUAUAAAGGCAAUCUUUAGGUGUGGGAUUCUAACUCUGAACCUCUCUGUAUCCAAAGCCAUUUUGAUUCUAAUUCUGAACCUCUCUAUAUCCAAUUCCCUUACUCUUGUCCAGAUACGGAUGCACCCUCACAAAUAGCUUUGGUAUGGAUUCUUAGUGGUGAAUUAUUUGUUAAGCUAUUUAUUAUUUUUUAUGUUGAUACACCAGGAUGUAGCUACCUUGGAGCAGCAACCAAGCUGCACAUUGUCCCUAGAAACAUCCCUUUCAAAGCAGAAUGUAUGCAAAGAAAAGGUGUGUUGAGGCUGCUAGAAUUAGGGGGAAAUAUCCAGAGAGGAUUCCUGUAAGCAUUUACUCUAACUGGUAGUCAUAUACUGGUUCUUCCCCCUCAUGCAACAACUAUGAGAGGUGGGUCCACAGUUAUAGACACCCAUUACUCUGUUUUGAAAUUUGCACAAUACACUGGAGCUCAUCCAAUUGCAGGGCGGCACACACCAGGAACCUUCAGGUUCUAUUUAUGAAUACAUGAUGCAUUUUGAAAAGGAUAAAGCAUUAGCUCAACGAUUCCAGCCUGUGUUGAUAAACGAGCUUAGCCAGUUGGAGAAACACCGGAGAGUUGAUCAGGAGCUGAAGAAGCGUGUAUUGAAGUUGGUAUUCUGUCUUCAAGAAGCUCGGUCCCAAACACGGAAGCUUUAAAGGAUCCAACUAAGCAUGCAUGUUUGGAUUGGGAAAGGUGAUACAAAAUCAUA